rnacentral:rRNA from 1 species
GUUGCGCUAGGGACGGGAAACCGUCCGGUGGAUGGCUCGGCUCGGGAGCCGACGAAGGGCGCGGCAAGCGGCGAAAUGCCUGGGGGAGGCGCAAGCAGCCUUCGAUCCCAGGAUCCCCUAAUGGGACUUCCCACCCGGCGCCAAAAGUGUCGGGUUAAGCUCCGGUGUCUCACCGGAGCGGGAACCCCCCGAACGGAAGCAUCUUAGUAGGGGGAGGAGGAGAAAUCAAUUGAGAUUCCCUGAGUAGGGGCGACCGAAAGGGGAACAGCCCAAACCAAACCCGCUGUCGAUGAGGCAGUGGGGAUGUGGUGUUUCUGGCCCUGAACCUGGGGCAACCCGGCUCUCCUAACCCGCAUAGCCGAACUCACCUGGAAUGGUGGGCCACAGAGGGUGAUAGCCCCGUAGGCGAAAUGCGGGUGGAGGGCGGUUCAGGGCAGAGUACUAUCCCCUAGUUUGGGGGUAGGAAGAUGGGGGACACGUGCCUCCAAGGCUAAAUACUACCCGAGACCGAUAGCGAACUUAGUACCGUGAGGGAAAGCUGAAAAGAACCCCGGGAGGGGAGUGAAAAGAGCCUGAAACCGGACGGUCACAGAGGGUAGGGCCCGAAAGGGCUGACUCCCCCCGAAGGGAAGGGGUGCGAGCCCUGAGUACGAGGGGGGUGACCGGGGUCCUACCAUUCGUCUUGAAACACGGGCCGGGGAGUUCACGCUGGUGGCGAGCCUAAGGCGUUCAACGCCGAAGGCGUAGGGAAACCGAGGAUCCGCAACCCGGGCGACCGGGUGAGGGAUCGGGUCUGUCAGGGCCUUGAGUCACCGGUGUGAGACUAGAAACCGGGCGAUCUAGACCAGGGCAGGCCGAAGCCGGGGGAAACCUCGGUGGAGGGCCGAAUAGGGGUUCUGACGUGCAAUUCGUUCCCUUGACCCUGGUCUAGGGGCAAAAGACCAAUCUAGCCCGGUGAUAUCUAGUUCCCUCCGAAAUGCGUCCUAGCGCAGCCUCCCUGGAGGUUGCUCGUGGGGUAGAGUUACUGAUUGGGGGCCUCUGGCGAAAGCCAGAGGAACUCAGUCAAACUCCGAACCUGCGGGCACCAGAGAAGGGGGGAGUGGAUCACCCGGCGUAAGGUUGGGUGGUAAGAGGGGAACAACCCAGACCCGGGUUAAGGUCCCUAAGUGCUGGCUAAGUGCCAAUCAGAAAGGGCGUCCCAUGCCUUAGACAGCGGGGAGGUGGGCCCAGCAGCAGCCAUCCUCUAAGGAGUGCGUAACAGCUCACCCGCCGAGGCCUGGGGCCCUGCAGAUUGGUCGGGGCUCAAGCCAGCCACCGAUACCCGGGGGGUGGUACCCUAUGGGUGCCGCUCGGUAGGGGGGCGCCACGGUGGGCCAGAAGGCGGGCCGUGAGGUCCGCUGGACCCUCCGCGGGUGCAGAUCCCGGCGGCAGUAAUAGCGAAGGAGGGUGAGAAUCCCUCCCGCCGAAAGGGCAAGGGUUUCCCGGCAAUGGUCGUCAGCCGGGAGUUAGCCGGUCCUAAGGCAGGGCCUAACUGGUACCUGCCGAAAGGGAAAGGGGUUAAUAUUCCCCUGCCACGGAGGUAGGUGCGGUAACGCCAGGGGGAUCUCCUGACGGAUCGGGGUAGGGAGAGUGGGGUUGUCGCCCCACCCAAGUGUACCGAAGUCCCUGGAGAGCCGUAAUGGUGAGAAGGGGACGGAAGCUCGAUGGGCCUUCCGUUAGGAGGGUUCUCCUGAUCCCUGGUCCCCAUGAAAAGGGAGAUCUCAGCGAUCCUCCGUGACCGUACCGAGAACCGACACUGGUGCCCCUGGGUGAGAAGCCCAAGGCGUCUGGGGGGUAACUCAGGCUAGGGAACUCGGCAAAUUGGUCCCGUACCUUCGGAAGAAGGGAUGCCUACCAUCGUAGUGAACCUGCGGUGGUAGGUCGCAGAGACCAGGGGGAUCUGACUAUUUAAUAAAAAUAUAGGUCCCCGCUAGCCCGAAAGGGUGUGAACGGGGGCUAAAUCCUGGCCACUGGCGGUCGGUUAAACCCGGGUCCAACCGGGCGAAGCCCCGCUGAAGGCCGGGGGUAACUCUGACCCUCUCAAGGUAGCCAAAUGCCUUGCCGGGCAAGUUCCGGCGUGCAUGAAUGGAUCAACGUGAUCCCCACUGUCCCAGCCUGGGGCCCCAUGACCGCCCAGAGUGGGUUCACAGUCCCGCAACCCCUCACACCGAGAGAAGACCCCGUGGAGCUUCACCGCAGCCUGGCGCUGGUUCUCGGGCGCCUAUGCGUAGAGUAGGUGGGAGGCGUCGAAGCCGUCCCUUCGGGGGCGGUGGAGCCGAAGGUGAAACACCACCCAUGGGUGCUCGGGAACCUAACCUCUUCGGGGGACAACGUCAGGUGGGCGGUUCGGCUGGGGCGGCACUCCCGCGAAAAUGUAACACGGGAGCCCAAAGGUCAGCUCAGGCGGUACAGAACGCCGCCGUAGAGUGCAAGGGCAAAAGCUGGCCUGACGAGACCCUUCAAGGUACGGGGUCUCGGCGCGAAAGCGCGGCCUAGCGAACGCUCGUGCCCCCACACGUGGGGGCCGGGCAUGACAGAAAAGUUACCCCGGGGAUAACAGGGUCGUCGCGGGCGAGAGCUCCCAUCGACCCCGCGGUUUGCUACAUCGAUGUCGGCUCUUCCCACCCUGGAGGUGCAGCUGCCUCCAAGGGUAGGGCUGCCCGCCCGUUAAAGGGGAACGUGAGCUGGGUUUAGACCGUCGCGAGACAGGUCGGACUCUAAGGGUGAGGGGUGCACGCUGCCUGAGGGGAAGGUACUCCUAGUACGAGAGGAACAGGGUAUCGGGGCCUCUAGUCUGCCGGUUGUCCGACAGGGCAACGCCGGGCAGCCACGCCCUGUGGGGUAACCGCUGAAAGCAUCUAAGCGGGAACCCCUCCCCGAAAAGAGGCAGCGGUGCGUGACGGCCGAAAGGUUGUCACGCGGGAGCCCUCCCCAAGAACAGGGGGUUGAUGGGGUGGGGGUGUAAGUCCCGAGGGCGAAAGUCCGAGGGGCUCAGCCUGCCACUCCCAAUAGGGCGAGUCCAGCGCAAU